CCAGACAGCCAGGAUGUUGGCUUAGAAGCAGCCAUCAUUUAAAGAAAGCGUAAUAGCUCACUGGUCGAGUCGGCCUGCGCGGAAGAUGUAACGGGGCUAAACCAUGCACCGAAGCUGCGGCAGCGACGCUUAUGCGUUGUUGGGUAGGGGAGCGUUCUGUAAGCCUGCGAAGGUGUGCUGUGAGGCAUGCUGGAGGUAUCAGAAGUGCGAAUGCUGACAUAAGUAACGAUAAAGCGGGUGAAAAGCCCGCUCGCCGGAAGACCAAGGGUUCCUGUCCAACGUUAAUCGGGGCAGGGUGAGUCGACCCCUAAGGCGAGGCCGAAAGGCGUAGUCGAUGGGAAACAGGUUAAUAUUCCUGUACUUGGUGUUACUGCGAAGGGGGGACGGAGAAGGCUAUGUCGGCCGGGCGACGGUUGUCCCGGUUUAAGCGUGUAGGCUGACUUUCCAGGCAAAUCCGGAAAGUUAAGGCUGAGGCGUGAUGACGAGGCACCACGGUGCUGAAGUGACAAAUGCCCUGCUUCCAGGAAAAGCCUCUAAGCAUCAGGUAACAUCAAAUCGUACCCCAAACCGACACAGGUGGUCAGGUAG
rnacentral:rRNA from 1 species